rnacentral:rRNA from 1 species
CAGCAGCCGCGGUAAUACGGAGGGUGCAAGCGUUAAUCGGAAUUACUGGGCGUAAAGCGCACGCAGGCGGUCUGUCAAGUCGGAUGUGAAAUCCCCGGGCUCAACCCGGGAACUGCAUUCGAAACUGGCAGGCUAGAGUCUUGUAGAGGGGGGUAGAAUUCCAGGUGUAGCGGUGAAAUGCGUAGAGAUCUGGAGGAAUACCGGUGGCGAAGGCGGCCCCCUGGACAAAGACUGACGCUCAGGUGCGAAAGCGUGGGGAGCAAACAGGAUUAGAUACCCCAGUAGUCCCUGUCUCUUAUAC